CCCUCUCUCCCUCUCUCUCCCUUCUUUAUAAAAUACCUUGUUGAGUAUUGUGCCUAUAGACAAGCAGGGCACAGAGACUCCGGAAAUACAGUAUUUAUGAUAUCCUUAUAUGGAUAAGGCCCUGUGUUGCCUGUACCCUAUAGUGGUUUAGGAAGGCAGGAAAUUGCACUCCCGGCCCUGGCCACUGGAACUAGAGACCCCCAGAAAAUCCUCGUGUAGUGGCCACCAAUUGUCAAGCAAGAAAUAAGAGCUCAGCACAAGCAGGAAUCCUGUAGAAGGGGGGUUUCCUUAUUUGCAAUUGUUUGUGCCUAGAUAAUAGGGUACAGGGACCUAAGCAAGUUCUUUACUUUCUUUCCAGUUGCAAGAUGGGAAUAAUAAUGUUGACCACACAGGGUUUUAAUGGUGAUGAUAAGCCUAAUGAACUGCUGUGCUCUAAGAUGAAAACUGAAACUAUCAAAAAUACGAGCCUAAUGAUCAUAGCUCUGUAAGUGUGUGGUCUAGUAUGAGCUCUCACCUGCAUAAAUUCUCCUAGCAGAUUCAUGAAUUGGAGCCUUGAUCACACACCCAUGGUUGAGUAAAGGAGAUCCUUUGUUCGAGAUGCACUUACUGAACACCAGUUGUGUACCAGCUGGUGCAUGUUGAAUCACUCUCCUGGGUGAGUGAGGCAGAAAUGUUUCUCCCCUCACCUAGUAGGCAGACUCCCAGACCUGAAAGACAUACUUGAAACAAAAUGAUGAGCCAACUUUUAAAUGCCCAGAGGGAGAAAUCCUGGUUGCUUGCUUCAAGGAUAUAUAACAGGGGUGCUUGACCUAGGUUGGGACCGAUCAGGUAAGGCUUUCCUGAGGAAGCGAUACUGAAGUCCAGACGCAGACUUUACCGAGGGUAGUGGUUCUCAACCCUGGCUAUACAGUAGUAUGACCUGGGAACUUAACACAAACCUGACACCAGAACUCAACCCCCAGAGGUUCUGAUUUCAAUAGUCUGGAGUGAAGCCUUGACACAGGCAUUUUUAGAAGCUCCCCAGGUAGGGAGAGGUAAGGGGCAUGUUCAGACUGGGAAAAGAGUCUGAGCAGAGGGACCAUGGUUCAGGAGAAGCAGGGCUGCUGGAGACCCACGAAGGCCUCGUCCUGCCCACCAGUUUUCAGGACUGUUCCGUACCCUCUGGGGAAUCUGGAAAUUGCCUCUUUCUCUACACUCCAACAGCACAUGAGACACUGUACUCUUGCUUAGAAUCUUCCACUCACUGACGUGUUGGACAGCAGCAACUGAACAAAGCACUUUUCUAAGGCUUUUGCCCACGAAGCAAAGAGUUGAAGCCCUGCAAGUCCCCCAUUUCAGCAUUUCUGAACAUUUCUAUUACCUCGUACCCCAACCCUAACCUGUUUUACAGGGUUUCACCUCUAAAGGAGAGAUUUACAUUAAAUGCAUAGGUCUGGCCUUGGUCCUUUCUUCCUUCUCUUUUAUCCUUCCCCUUCCUCCAAUAGAGGAAAGACUUUCUAGUUCCUCUUCAUAUUGGGUGGGAGCUCUAAGCCACAUACUCCCCUCUUUGGGCAGUAAGUCUCAUGGCUUAACCAUAGUGUUGGAAGGAGAAGGGGAAAAACCUAAUUUCUGAAACAGAAAUGCACUUUUAAAUAUGUAAGCAAUAUGGCCAUUACCUAAGCAAUCAACAUAUAUUAGAGCAGUGUGCUACCAGUAACAAAAUUCAGUAGCAAUAAAGAAAAUUAUGUCUUUGCAAUAAGAUUUUCUUGAUGCCAGGUGAUUCAGAAGCCACUUGUUUUUAAAUUUAUCACACUUUGCAAAAUAAGUCCUUGGGGCUAGAAUUCCUUUAUUUCUCCUCAUUUCAAAAAACUCUACCCAUCCUAAGAGAAUCUGCUCAAAUUCCUCCUUGUUCAUGAGGAGUUUUUCUCAUGUCAUCUCCCUUUUGUUCAGACUUCAUUGCACUUACUACCUGAAUCAUUCAUUUAGUAAUUUGUUAAUUGUAGUACGUCAUUGUGUCUACUAUGUGCCAAGCACCAUUUUGGGCACUGACAAUUGGGAUAUUUAUUAUACUGUUAUGGUGAACUAUAUAUAUAUUUUUUAUCAUUGUACUUAUUCUCCCUAGGUGGGUUAUGGAUCCUUAAGGCCAAGUUUGCAUUCCUUAUUCAAGGAAAUGUGUACAGUGUCCUGAAAAUGUUACCAAAAAACAACCAGUUUGUUGGCUGUUUUUGAUCAGUUGGAAUCUUCUGAUAUUUUUGCUUCAAGGCCGUUCUCUUCACUUUCUAGCUCAUGAAUAAAUACAUGUUGUCAGUAGGGUUUUCUAUCUACAACAAGAAAACUAACUCUGGACAAUUUAAGCAAAAUUAAAAAAAUUGCUUGAAGUAUUAUCAGGUUACAAGAUGGCUCACUGACCCUGACUUGGGAAUCAUUCAUAAUACAACCAGCUACAUCAUCAAACUGAACUGAGUGAGUACUGUAGAGUUUUGCAGUUACAAAGGACAACACGUAUACAGUGCUACCAGGAACCAUCCAUAUGCAUAGCAGCAAAACAAUGCUUUCCCAUACAUAAUCUCAUUUAGCCCUCACCACCACUUUAUGGGAGAUUGAAAAAUAUGGCUCAAUAUUUAUUAUCUUUCAUCAAGAAGUGGAGUCUCUCUCCCAACCCUUUGAAUCUGAGCUGGUCUUGUGACCUCCUCUGACCAAUGGCAAUAGGGUAGAAGUGACACUGUGACUUCCAAGGCUAGGCCUUAAGAGAUCUUGCAGUGUCCUCCCUCACCCUCUUAGAUGUUGCCCUGAAAUGGCCAUGGCCUGAAGAAGUCCAGGAUGAAAAAGUAUGCCUUAGCUAAUCUGAGACCCUCACCAAGCCACCAACUAAAUGUAGCCAUACGUGUGAGCCCAGCAGAUCAGCAGAAAAAUUGCCCAGGGAAUCCACAGAAUAAAUACACAGUAUCAUGGUAGUUUUAAGCUACUUAAUUAUUAGGGUACACAGGAAUAGGUAACUAAUACAAACAUCAGAGGGAAAAUAGUUGUCUCAGUUUUAUAGACGAAUAAACUCACAUUUCAGAAACACUGAGAAACACUCUUAAGUUCACAGAACUAGAACUAGAGUCGGGGAUGGAUUCAAAACCAUGCCUUAGACAACAAGUUAAAGGUACUUUUCAUUUCCUCACGCUGUCUCGUCCAUCUGCCACAAAAAUCUUGCUCAAGAUCUUGGUCGGCUGUGGGCUAGAGCCACUCCCUGUAUCCAUAACACUUCCCUGCUAUGCUAAGGUUUCAUCUCUGGAGCUUCAUUGCAAUCUGAAUCUGCAUUUCACCGUAUUUGAGAGCUCCAUUUAUUCCAUGCUGCAGUCACUGAGAUAGUCCAGAAACGACGGGGUCAUGAGAACUGCUGUAGUCAAUUUCCCUGCUUCUCUGCCUCAGUUUCUAGCCCCUAGUCACAUCCCCAUCACACAGAACACAAUCCCCUGUACAAAAGAGCCGCUCAGUGAAUAUCUGUUGAAUGAACAGAUGAAUGCAUUAACUUCCUUUCAAGAUGAUGAUAAUCAUGGCAACUUUAAAACCUCACCUUCCUUAUCAUUCUUCCUUAUCACUCUGUGUGUUAAGGAAAGGCCUAAACCUCUCCAGCCUGUGAUGGAGCCCAGGUAUGUCACAUCUCCUGGCUGUGUUUCCAUGUCCAUCACUCCCUCUUGGGAUGUGACAUGAAUGAAUGGGUCUUGGCUUUGAAAAAGAACUGAAGGUAGAAUUAAGAUGCCUGCUUGCUUGCAGAAUACCUUCCUAUAUGUCCUCUUCCCCCCUUUAAAAAAAGUAUUAUUUAAUUUAUUCACUUAACCAUUUUAAUAGAGAGCCAAGCACUAUGUGCCAGACAUAAUGUCAGAAGCUGAGGAUUCAACUGUGAGGAGAUGCCGUUUCUGCCUGGAAGAAUCACAAGGUCUAGGGCUUUGGAAGAGGGCCUUUCAGUGACAACUAUCAUUAAGCCUUGGUCAUGCAGGUACUCUGUUAAGUAGCAGGUUAGUAAUUUCCCCCUACUUAAUCUUUUAGAAAGAUUAAGGUUUAAGGGAGAAUGGCUUAAAAUGACACAAACAGAUAUUUCUUAGGGAAAAUUUGUACAUAUCUGUGGCUGUAUACUGAGGAUCCUAAGAAAUUCCCACUUCAAUGUAAGAUUCUGGUUUUGUGUUGGGAAAAGGUGAAAAACAGAGGGAAAAAAAACAGGUAAAAAUUUUACAUGCUAGAGAAGGAAUCAGAUUUUUUUUUCAUUUUAAUUAAAUCACUAUGUUGUACACCUGAAACUAACCUAAUUUGCAAAUCAACUAUACUUCAAUAAAAAUAAAUUUUUAAAAAGAAUUUUUUUCAGCUUAAUCAUUUUUAGAUUAAUUGUAGAAAUAUUUUAGCUACUCAAAGAAAACUGUUGUUUUUUUAAACUAUUUUCCCAUAAUCCUACUACCCUAACACAACGAUUUGUAUUUUUCCAGUUCCCCUCUAGUCUUUGACCAUAUGGUGUAUUUUAGAUAGCAUAACCAAGGUAUGUAUAUAGUUUCAUGUUCUGCUGAACAGGGAGGAGAAUUCGUUCAGUGUUUAACCUUUGCACUUUGCAGAUGGGGUCCCUGGGUGAGGUCUGCCCAGCUGUACUCUGGCAGAAAGCAUGUACAAGUGUUCAAUUAUGUUAUUGAAAUAACUUUCAUUACCUCAAUCCCCCAAAGCAAACAGUUCCUCUCCACCCAAAACAAAAGCCCUGGUUCCCAGACUUCAUUUCGUUUGUGUUUUCCAUGAGUUCUAUGACCCACCCUGGUAUUCCCUUUUUUUUGUCUACCAGACAUAACAGAUACCAGCCCAACAGCAGAAAGGAAUAAAGAAAAGGCCUGGACAGCAAGAAAGGACAUAACAUUGUAUCCAUCACAAAUUAAAAACACAUUCUCUCUCAGCUCCAUUCAGCAGGAUUUACCGAACACCAGCUCUGUGCUCCAGGCCAUGGUAGACCCAGCAGAAGUGACCAGAAAGUGUCAAAACUGUGUCCUCCCAGGAGGGCGACACCCCCUCUCAGGAGGAAAGGAACUGAGUGCCUGUAGCAGAGCUCAGCAAACUUCUCAUAAAGUGAGAUACUGAAUAUUUCAGGCUUGGUGGGCCGAGAGGCAAAAGCAAGCCAAUUUCCACCAGCAUUUUAGUGACCAAAAUAAAACAUUUAUGGACAUUGAAUUUCAAUUUAAUAUAAUUUUCACAGGUAACAAGACGCUAUUCUUCUUUUGAGUGUUUUCAACAACUUAAAAACACAGUAACCAUUCUUAGCCUGCAGGUCAUAUAAAAACAGACAGUGGGAGCAGAUUUGCCCCCCUCACCCCCACCCCCCUGCCACGGUUUGUCAAACCCUGAUGAAUAAGAUAAAAAGCAAGCCCAGAAAAUGGCUCCCGGCCAUUAAUCUCCAUAACAAGUGGCAUCAAGAAAGGAGUCCAGGGAGGGGGUGGGGUGGGGUGGGAUGGGGUGGUCCAGUCAGGAAGCCUUAAUGGAAGAAAUGGGAUUUGAGCAGAGCCUUGAAGGGAGGGUAGGAUUUAGCUGCUUAGAACAGUCUGGGGAGAGGAUUCCAGGCAGAAGCAGUGAGCAUGAGGCAGUCACAGAGGGAGGAAAGACCAUGGGCCAAAGGUGACCUAUGCGGUGUUUCCCCAUCCUUCACUGUGACACACUGCUAGCUCUCCAGGGCUUCAGUGACACGCCCUGGGCUGCCUGUUUAUGAAGGCGACGCAUACCGUGGGCCUGUGGGAGGAGGCCUUUAAACAACUACAAUUAAUCAUACGGUAUGAAUAUUUAUAAUCUUCCUCACCCAGGACUUGGAAACCCUGAGAUCCAUCGGAACUCUAGUUCAAAACUGAUGGAGAACAAACUGGGCUAUUUUUCUUCAUCAGGAGACUUUCCAGGUUUCAAUUAGUCACCUACUUUAUGGAAUUUUUGUGGGGAAUGAGCCUUUUCUCAGAAUCUUAAUACUAUUCUAAUCAUACCAGGAAGUGCCACAUGCCCUAACCCAGAUUUUUCAUGGCCAAUCUGAAAGCUUUAACCACAUUAGGAGUGACAAGUCGCUUUGGUUAGUGACAUCAUUUUCUACAUGUUUUUGUUUUUACUUUCAAUCUGAAGUUUCUUGGAGAAGUUAACAAUUAGUGGAUACUAGCAAUGAGUGGAUACCUUAAAAAAAAAGUUCUUCUUGGCUGGCUUUAUCUAUUCCCAUGAUUUCACCUCCUGCUCAUAAAAAGCGUCUCACUCCCAGAUCUGUAUCUCUAGCCCAGAUAGCUCCCAGGAGAUCCACAUUCAGAUGUCCAUGUUCCUGCUGGGUAUCCCCACCUAGUCCUCCCCGAGGCGUGCUUGGCAGCCUCCAAGACGGCCCCCAAUGCUCCCCACCUCUUGAACUCCCACCCUUGGGUAAUCCCCUCCCCUUGAGUGCAGGCUGGACCCAGUGAGUGGCAGGGGUAAGGGGAUGUCAUUUCCCAUAUUAAAUUACAAGAAGACUCUGGAUUCUGUCUUGUUUGCCCUUUCUGGCGCUCUCCUUGCUCAUGCUGCUGGAAGCCUGCCGCCAUGCUCUGAGCUGCCCUAGGAGAGGCCCCGUGGCAAGGACCCGAGGGAGGCCUCAGGCCAACAGCCUUGGAUGAACUGAAUUCUGCUAACACCCACAGGAGUGAGCUUGGAAGUCUUCAGCUGAGACCACAACGCCAGCCAACACCUUGAUAGCAGCUGGGAGAGACAAUGAGCCUGGGGCACCCAGCUAAGCAGUGCCCAACUGGUGACCCACAGAAACUACGAGAUAAUAAGCCCUUAGGAAGUAUCCAGAGUGACAGGACGGGAGAAGGGAGAGUCUGGGAAAUGCUGGGAAACUACGCCUGUGGCUUGAAAAUCCACCACACUUGACGUAGGAUAGAACAAUCCUGGGACCCAGAGGCAGGGAUGCGGGUCUGGGCUCUGCUACUCAUCGGCUGCGCCCUCAGCAAGUCAUGUUACUUCUCCAAGAGUCACUUUCCUCUAUCAAGAGCAUGAGGGGGCUAGACUUCCGUGGGAAACCGAGCCAUGAGUGGGCUGCUUCGGGAUGAACCACAGAGCUUACUGCUCUUCGCAUUCCUGCCCCUAACACUCACCCCAGGCCGGGGCAGGAGGCCAGAGGUGGGGCCUUGGAAUCUGUAUUUCUAAAGUGACUGGCUCCCGGAGGUUCAUCCAGGAAUGGGAAUCCUGAACUACGUCCUCUCGAAGGAUAUUUCCAUUUUCAUACUGUAAUUAUCAAGACGUUUCCAUUUUUGCCUAUUCUACUUUGCAUGUACAUUAUAAAAACAUACAAAAAA